GACGAACCGUGCGAACGUUAUUCGGAAUCACUGGGCUUAAAGGGCGCGUAGGCGGGCUCGCAGGUCAGGGGUGAAAGCCCACGGCUCAACCGUGGAAGUGCCUUUGAUACCGUGAGUCUCGAGGGAGGUAGGGGCGUGUGGAACUUCCGGUGGAGCGGUGAAAUGCGUAGAUAUCGGAAGGAACACCAGUGGCGAAAGCGGCUUCCUGGUCCGACACCGACGUUCAGGCACGAAAGCGUGGGGAGCAAACAGG
rnacentral:rRNA from 1 species